UGGAUCCAGACUUUGAUCAUGGCUCAGGAUGAACGCUAGCUACAGGCUUAACACAUGCAAGUCGAGGGGAAACGAUAUUGGAAGCUUGCUUCCGAUAGGGCGUCGACCGGCGCACGGGUGAGUAACGCGUAUCCAACCUGCCCAUCACUUGGGAAUAACCUUGCGAAAGUAAGACUAAUGCCCAAUGACAUCCCACGGAGACAUCUGAAUGGGAUUAAAGAUUUAUCGGUGAUGGAUGGGGAUGCGUCUGAUUAGCUUGUUGGCGGGGUAACGGCCCACCAAGGCAACGAUCAGUAGGGGUUCUGAGAGGAAGGUCCCCCACAUUGGAACUGAGACACGGUCCAAACUCCUACGGGAGGCAGCAGUGAGGAAUAUUGGUCAAUGGGCGAGAGCCUGAACCAGCCAAGUAGCGUGCAGGAUGACGGCCCUAUGGGUUGUAAACUGCUUUUAUAAGGGAAUAAAGUGAGUCUCGUGAGACUUUUUGCAUGUACCUUAUGAAUAAGGACCGGCUAAUUCCGUGCCAGCAGCCGCGGUAAUACGGAAGGUCCGGGCGUUAUCCGGAUUUAUUGGGUUUAAAGGGAGCGUAGGCCGGAGAUUAAGCGUGUUGUGAAAUGUAGAGGCUCAACCUCUGCACUGCAGCGCGAACUGGUCUUCUUGAGUACGCACAACGUGGGCGGAAUUCGUGGUGUAGCGGUGAAAUGCUUAGAUAUCACGAAGAACUCCGAUUGCGAAGGCAGCUCACGGGAGCGCAACUGACGCUGAAGCUCGAAAGUGCGGGUAUCGAACAGGAUUAGAUACCCUGGUAGUCCGCACGGUAAACGAUGGAUGCCCGCUGUUGGCCUGAAUAGGUCAGCGGCCAAGCGAAAGCAUUAAGCAUCCCACCUGGGGAGUACGCCGGCAACGGUGCAACUCAAAGGAAUUGACGGA
rnacentral:rRNA from 1 species